ensembl:lncRNA
GCGAGGCAUUAUAAGAUAUAAGUAGGAAUGCUCCAGUUACACAUCGACAAGCCUCAUACAGAACUCAGCUGGUCUGGACACCUUUACCAGACUCCGCCCCUCCCUGAUUAUUAAGUUGACACACCUGGGAGGUCCCAGAGGCCAAUAAGAGGGCCUGGCAGGUCAGGAGAAAAAAGCAGCAGAGAUGGCGAAAUAGCUGGUGGCUAUCUCCUACGGCGAGACCGCAGUGCUGGCGUGGCACAGAAAGGCUGCGGGCGGGGUUGAGAGCUCUGCCCAUCCGGGGUAAGUCCCGAGACAUAUCGCGCUGCAAUAAACCGGUCCACUGGAAGGAACAGUGACUAUCGCUGCCCCCUCUCUUUUCCAGCACUCCGGAGCGGACAGAUAGACGGGACGGCUGGGGACGCCGCCGGGUUUUCCUUGCCCCGCUCCGAUUUUUACUGGAUUUUAAUGCUGUGGCUGACGCCACCUGACUUUUCAUGUUUAUGUUUUACUGGUUUUUAUUGUGUUCUUUUAUUGUGUUUAAAGCCCCACUCAUCUGGUUUGUUGGCAAUAUACUGGUGGAGAGUGCCAGCCCUUGUAGCUUCAUAUGAAACCAUGACCUCAAACACACUGUGGUUGUAGGUGGAUGGUAUCAUUAGACACCGCUCACGAAUCCUCCACAGGACCAUGUGAUUUUUUUUUAAAGCCAUAUAAUUGUUUAUUGGCCAUAUAGUACUUGUUAAAUAUGACAUUAUAAUUUUGACAACUUAGUAUUAUUAAUUUACCAGCUACUGUAAUUUGGUUAAAAUGUAAUUAGUUGUGAUAUUUGUGAUUUCCACAUGUCACUCUUUAUUUUUGACAUAUUUACUAAUAUUAACUCAGAAAGUUACAAAAAUUACUUGCUGAGAAAAUUAUUUCAACAUAUUCUUGCUGUGCUAACGCUUAAUGUGAUUUAUCAACAGCAAUGGAUAAACAAAAUGGGUCUAGUGGUCUGAUUGUCUGGCAAAUAAUCAAUUUUAAUAACAUUUAGGUUAUGUUAGCAUUA